AGUGAACGCUUGCGGUAGGCCUAACACAUGCAAGUCGAACGGCAGCACAGUAAGAGCUUGCUCUUACGGGUGGCGAGUGGCGGACGGGUGAGGAAUACAUCGGAAUCUACUUUUUCGUGGGGGAUAACGUAGGGAAACUUACGCUAAUACCGCAUACGACCUACGGGUGAAAGCAGGGGAUCUUCGGACCUUGCGCGAUUGAAUGAGCCGAUGUCGGAUUAGCUAGUUGGCGUGGUAAAGGCCCACCAAGGCGACGAUCCGUAGCUGGUCUGAGAGGAUGAUCAGCCACGCUGGAACUGAGACACGGUCCAGACUCCUACGGGAGGCAGCAGUGGGGAAUAUUGGACAAUGGGCGCAAGCCUGAUCCAGCCAUACCGCGUGGGUGAAGAAGGCCUUCGGGUUGUAAAGCCCUUUUGUUGGGAAAGAAAAGCAGCAGGUUAAUACCCCGCUGUUCUGACGGUACCCAAAGAAUAAGCACCGGCUAACUUCGUG
rnacentral:rRNA from 1 species